CACCAGCGCCACAAGUGGGGACCAGUAUUAUUGGGCCUAAAGCGUCCGUAGCCGGAUUGAUAAAUCCUUUGUGAAAUUGUUGGGCUUAACCUAACAGCGUGCAGGGGAGACUGUUAAUCUUGAGACCGGGAGGAGUCAGAGGUAUUUGCGGGGUAGCGGUAAAAUGCAAUAAUCCCGUGAAGACCACCUGUGGCGGAGGCGUCUGACUAGAACGGGUCUGACGGUGAGGGACGAAAGCUGGGGGA
rnacentral:rRNA from 1 species